UCUACUCUCACCGUCCAAGGAGCAGCAUCACCAUGGAGAAGAUCUUGUUGGGUCUGUUGUUUCUCUCAGAGUGCUUGGUCCUCUCCACCUGCCUCGUCCGUCGCUACCACUUCGUUGGUCAGAUGUUGACUUGGACCGAAGCUCAGAAAUACUGCAGAGAGAAACACACGGACCUGGCCACCAUGCACAACUCUGAGGAACAGAACCAACUCAUGAACACACUUUCAUCUGCUGGUUCCAGCUCUGACGUCUGGAUCGGUCUGAGGCAUGAAGUCGACUGGAAGUGGUCUGAUGGGUUCAACGGUACCGGGGCUGACUACAGGAAAUGGGAUAGUGGUGAACCAAACUUUUACUCAUGCCGAGAGUUGUGUGUAUUCAUGACAAGCUAUUCUUCAUCAUGGAGGGACGAUCCUUGCCAGACAAGCGGACCCUUCAUGUGUUACAAAGGAUCACAGCAGAAUCCUGAAUAUGUUUAUGUGAACCAGGAGAUGACCUGGUCCAGCGCUCAGAGUUACUGCAGGGAGAACUUCAUAGACCUGGCCAUUAUGAGGAACGAUGCAGAGAGAGAGGCGGCCGAGACGAAACUACCUAACGGUCAAUGGACUUGGAUGGGCCUGUAUAGAGAUCCAACCUUUAACUGGUCUGAUGGGAGCAGCUUCCUCUAUAAAAACUGGGAGGAUGCUCUUAAUCCCUUGAACUCGAUGAGAGUUAUUUGUGGUGUUUCUUCAGGCAGCUCAGGACAAUGGAAGUUUCUGUCAUGUGAAACCAGAUUACCGUUUGUCUGCUACAGUUAUGACAGCGUGAAGAAGACGGUGGUGAAGGUGAAAGUGAAGGUGGACGGCUCUGUGGACCUGAAGGACCCGGCGGUGCAAGAACAACUCCUGAAACAGCUCCAGGACAAGCUGAAGAAGGACGGAGUGGACGGAGUCACCCUGAAGUGGAAAAAGCAGAAGGAUGGAGAAGUUUUCCACAAGGAGGACGAGUUGUGAGAUAGAAACCCAGAUCCAGUGAUGAGUGACGGAGGUUUAGUGUAGUUGGAGAUAGAAACCCAGAUCCAGUGAUGAGUGACGGAGGUUUAGGCCCAAUCCCAAUACUCCCCCU